rnacentral:rRNA from 1 species
UACGAACUGCGCGAACGUUAUUCGGAAUCACUGGGCUUACAGGGUGCGUAGGCGGCCCAUCAGGUCCGAUGUGAAAUCCCCCAGCUCAACUGGGGAAUGGCAUUGGAAACCGAUGGGCUAGAGUGAGCUAGAGGUGCACGGAACUUCCGGUGGAGCGGUGAAAUGUGUUGAGAUCGGAAGGAACACCAGAGGCGAAGGCGGUGCACUGGGGCUUGUCUGACGCUGAGGCACGAAAGCCAGGGGAGCGAACGGGAUUAGAUACCCCGGUAGUCCUGGCUGUAAACGAUCAGUACUAGACGGAGGGGGGCUUGCCCUUCUCGGUCGUAGCGAAAGCGAUAAGUACUGCGCCUGGGGAGUAUGGUCGCAAGGCUGAA